rnacentral:rRNA from 1 species
ACGCACGCUGGCGGCGUGCUUCACCCCUGCAAGUCGAACGGAAAGGCCCUGCUUUUGUGGGGUGCUCGAGUGACGAACGGGUGAGUAACACGUGAGUAACCUGCCCUUGACUUUGGGAUAACUUCAGGAAACUGGGGCUAAUACCGGAUAGGAGCUCCUGCUGCAUGGUGGGGGUUGGAAAGUUUCGGCGGUUGGGGAUGGACUCGCGGCUUAUCAGCUUGUUGGUGGGGUAGUGGCUUACCAAGGCUUUGACGGGUAGCCGGCCUGAGAGGGUGACCGGCCACAUUGGGACUGAGAUACGGCCCAGACUCCUACGGGAGGCAGCAGUGGGGAAUAUUGCACAAUGGGCGGAAGCCUGAUGCAGCAACGCCGCGUGCGGGAUGACGGCCUUCGGGUUGUAAACCGCUUUCGCCUGUGACGAAGCGUGAGUGACGGUAAUGGGUAAAGAAGCACCGGCUAACUACGUG